rnacentral:rRNA from 1 species
UACGGAGGGGGCAAGCGUUGUUCGGAAUCAUUGGGCGUAAAGGGCGCGUAGGUGGUUCUGUAUGUCUACCGUGAAAGCAUACAGCUCAACUGUAUUUUGUCGGUAGAAACUGCAGGACUUGAGGCUGGGAGGGGCUGGUGGAAUUCCCUGUGUAGCGGUGAAAUGCGUAGAGAUGGGGGAGAACACUCGUGGCGAAGGCGGCCAGCUAGACCAGUUCUGACACUGAGGCGCGAAAGCGUGGGGAGCAAACAGG